UAACCCUCAAGCCUAGCUUGGUGUUGGGGCUUGCUGUUACCGGCAGCCCUUAAAACUAGUGGCGGUGCCACCUGGCUCUAAGCGUAGUAAUACUUCUCGCUAUAGAGUCCCGGUGGAUGCUUGCCAUCAACCCCUAAUUUUCUAU
rnacentral:misc_RNA from 1 species